CCUAUAGCGCAAUGGAUAGCUCGUUGGACUUUUAAUCCAAUGGUCCUGGGUUCGAAUCCCACCUGGAAGGG